rnacentral:rRNA from 1 species
CCCCACUGCUAUCGGGAUGGGACUAAGACAUGCUAGUCGAGCGUCUCCAAGCUAUGGAAGAGACGCGGCACACAGCUCAGUAACACGUGGCUAACCUGCCCUUGGGACAAGGACAACUCCGGGAAACUGGGGCUAAUCCCUGAUAAGUGAGAACUCCUGGAAUGGAUUCUCGCUCAAAGGACGUUUAGACCAUGCUUCUAGGCGUCGCCCAAGGAGGGGGCCGCGACCGAUCAGGUUGUUGGUGAGGUAACGGCUCACCAAGCCUUUAACCGGUACGGGCCGUGAGAGCGGAAGCCCGGAGAUGGGCACUGAGACAAGGGCCCAGGCCCUACGGGGCACAGCAGUCGCGAAAACUCCGCAAUACACGAAAGUGUGACGGGGCCAUCCCGAGUGCCAUCCGCUGAGGAUGGCUUUUCCCCAGUGUAUAAAGCUGGGGGAAUAAGGAGAGGGCAAGCCUGGUGUCAGCCGCCGCGGUAAUACCAGCUCUCCGAGUGGUGGGGAUGUUUAUUGGGCCUAAAGCAUUCGUAGCCUGCUUGGCAAGUCCUCCGUUAAAUCCAACGAUUCAAUCGUUGGGCUGCGGGGGAUACUGUCCAGCUAGGGGGCGGGAGAGGCCGACGGUAUCCUCGGGGUAGGGGUGAAAUCCUAUAAUCCCGGGAGGACCACCAGUGGCGAAGGCUGUCGGCUAGAACGCGCUCGACGGUGAGGGAUGAAAGCUGGGGGAGCGAACCGGAUUAGAUACCCGGGUAGUCCCAGCUGUAAACGAUGCAGGCUAGGUGUUGGCGCGGCUACGUGCCGCUCCAGUGCCGCAGGGAAGCCGUUAAGCCUGCCGCCUGGGAAGUACGGCCGCAAGGCUGAAACUUAAAGGAAUUGGCGGGGGAGCACCACAAGGUGUGAAGCUUGCGGUUUAAUUGGAUUCAACGCCGGG